rnacentral:rRNA from 1 species
GGGUAGAGUGAUGCGUGACCACCUGCCCCAUGCUCCAGAAUAGCUCUUGGAAACGGGUGGUAAUGCUGGAUGCUCCAACUUGACGCAUGUCUUGUUGGGAAAGUGUUUAGUGGCAUGGGAUGGGGUCGCGUCCUAUCAGCUUGUAGGCGGGGUAAUGGCCCACCUAGGCUUCGACGGGUAGCCGGCCUGAGAGGGCGGACGGCCACAUUGGGACUGAGAUACGGCCCAGACUCCUACGGGAGGCAGCAGUU